UACGUAGGGUGCAAGCGUUGUCCGGAAUUAUUGGGCGUAAAGAGCUCGUAGGCGGUCUGUCGCGUCGGCUGUGAAAUCCCGAGGCUCAACCUCGGGUCUGCAGUCGAUACGGGCAAACUGGAGUGUUGCAGGGGAGACUGGAAUUCCUGGUGUAGCGGUGAAAUGCGCAGAUAUCAGGAGGAACACCGGUGGCGAAGGCGGGUCUCUGGGACGGUACUGACGCUGAGACGCGAAAGCGUGGGGAGCAAACAGG
rnacentral:rRNA from 1 species